CAGCUCCAAUAGCGUAUAUUAAAGUUGUUGCGGUUAAAAAGCUCGUAGUUGGUUCUGCGUGCCACGCUGUCGGUUCGCCGCCUGUCGGUGCAACUGGCAUGCCGUGGCAUGUCCUGUCGGUGGCUGACAGGCUUCGCGGCGCGCCCUAUGCGUUCAUACGUGUAGGCAGUUGCGCCGCGUCGUCCUUGUAGGCCGGCUCAAUCCUACCGCGGUGCUCUUUGCCGAGUGUCGAGGUAGGCCGACACUGUUUACUUUGAACAAAUUAGAGUGCUUCAAGCAGGCUCUGAAAGCAGCCUGAAUAGUGGUGCAUGGAAUAAUGGAACAGGACCUUGGUUCUAUUUUGUUGGUUUUCGGAAUCCAAGGUAAUGAUCAAUAAGGACAGGCGGGGGCAUUCGUAUUGCGACGUUAGAGGUGAAAUUCUUGGAUCGUCGCAAGACGCACUAGAGCGAAAGCAUUUGCCAAGUAUGUCUUAAUUGAUCAAGAACGAAAGUUAGAGGUUCGAAGGCGAUCAGAUACCGCCCUAGUUCUAACCAUAAACGAUGCCAGCCAGCGAUCCGCCGAUGUUCCUCCGAUGACUCGGCGGGGAGCUUCCCCCGGGAAACCAAAGCUUUUGGGUUCCGGGGGAAGUAUGGUUGCAAAGCUGAAACUUAAAGGAAUUGACGGAAGGGCACCACAAGGAGUGGAGCCUGCGGCUUAAUUUGACUCAACACGGGAAACCUCACCAGGCCCGGACAUUGGAAGGAUUGACAGAUCGAUAGCUCUUUCUCGAUUCAGUGGGUAGUGG
rnacentral:rRNA from 1 species